UCCGUAGGUGAACCUGCGGAGGGAUCAUUACCGAGUUUACAACUCCCAAACCCCUGUGAACAUACCACUUGUUGCCUCGGCGGAUCAGCCCGCUCCCGGUAAAACGGGACGGCCCGCCAGAGGACCCCUAAACUCUGUUUCUAUAUGUAACUUCUGAGUAAAACCAUAAAUAAAUCAAAACUUUCGACAACGGAUCUCUUGGUUCUGGCAUCGAUGAAGAACGCAGCAAAAUGCGAUAAGUAAUGUGAAUUGCAGAAUUCAGUGAAUCAUCGAAUCUUUGAACGCACAUUGCGCCCGCCAGUAUUCUGGCGGGCAUGCCUGUUCGAGCGUCAUUUCAACCCUCAAGCACAGCUUGGUGUUGGGACUCGCGUUAAUUCGCGUUCCUCAAAUUGAUUGGCGGUCACGUCGAGCUUCCAUAGCGUAGUAGUAAAACCCUCGUUACUGGUAAUCGUCGCGGCCACGCCGUUAAACCCCAACUUCUGAAUGUUGACCUCGGAUCAGGUAGGAAUACCCGCUGAACUUAAGCAUAUCAAUAAGCGGAGGA
rnacentral:rRNA from 1 species